rnacentral:rRNA from 1 species
UAGGGAAUCUUCCACAAUGGGCGAAAGCUUGAUGGAGCAACGCCGCGUGUGUGAUGAAGGGUUUCGGCUCGUAAAACACUGUUGUAAGAGAAGAAUGACAUUGAGAGUAACUGUUCAAUGUGUGACGGUAUCUUACCAGAAAGGAACGGCUAAAUACGCGCCAG